UUUGUAAAAAAAUUAUUAAAAGAACAAUUUUGAGAAAAAAAAAAUCAGAUAGGCAAAGGUGAUUGGUUGAAAGGGAAGAAUGAGAGAGGCAUAUGCAGAUGAACGUCAACCUCAGAAUCCUCCAAAAAUCAAUCAAAGGAAUGGUGCUUAGACAGAAGAGAAGAAGGUCUUUCUUUUUCUUUUCAUUCCAUUUUGGCUUAUUUAUUAAAAGUGAAGCAGUGGGAAUUGAAAGACCACAGAAAUAGAAUCCCAUCUCAAACAAGACACGUACGUUUGUCACUUACCAUACAAAAGAAACUCUUCUGUGGGCGACGUGUAAUCUAAUUUCUCACCCACUCCCUUUGCUUUAUUCCCCACACAACACCCACUCCAAUUUCAAAUCUCUCAAAAACUCUCUCUGCAUGAACCCUUCAUGGCUCACCGAUCCUCUGCUGAAUCUAAUGACCAGAUUCCUUCAAAGAACCUUAAGACUCCCCAUCCAAGUAAAGAUAUCAUCAUCAACAUGGAGGAGGAGGAGGAGCAGCAGCAACAGCAAGACCCCUUAUUCUCCCUGACCAAAGUUAACCAUGAUGGUAUUCAUAGAGAUAAGGAAGACCCAUCUGCUUCAAAAUCCCUUCUUUGCGAGGAGGAGAAAAUGGCAUUGCAAGAGGCUGCUAAGGAAAGUAGUAUAACAGAGGGUUUAGAAGAGGAUGAUAGUGGACGCGAGAGGCUGAAGCGGCAUAGAGUUGAAGUGGCUGGGAGGGUUUGGAUUCCUGAUAUGUGGGGUCAGGAGGACCUGUUGAAGGAUUGGAUAGAUUGCACAGCAUUUGAUGCCCCUUUGCUUCCCAGCAAAAUCUCCACUGCACGAGAGGCUUUGGUUCAAGACUGUACAAGACCAAAUGCUUCUGGACUAAGAAUAGAUAACAGUUUCAGCACUUGUCUUUCUUUCGAGAAAAAACAAGUCAUUAGUUCAAGCAAUUUCCCAAAUGCUCUCUCGCUCUGAACAAACCUUGACCCUUAAGUGCCUCACUUGAAGCUUCCAAUGUGUAAUUAUACAUUGUUGGCCUUUACAAAUGACUUACAGGGGGCAUACUAGUGAAAAUGUGAAAUUUACGGCUAACAAAAUUUAGUGAAAACUCAAAGGUAGCUUUGUGACCCGUCAAGAAAUUGUGGACAUGGGGUUGGCUACAUCUUGCUAUAGUUAUGGAAACCAAUUCGAACAUCAAGUUGCCACACCGUUAUUAUUAGGACUUGGAUUUCAAUGAUUUAUCACUUAAUAACAGCACAACUGUAGAGGUUCAAAACACCCCAACGUUCGCAGACACCGAGAAGAGCAUCUAAACAAAAGGAUC